rnacentral:misc_RNA from 1 species
UGAUGCCGGUGAGGAUACGAAGAAAGCAAUGAUGAAAUCAUUUUAUGAAUCAGGUGGAACUGUUCUAAGCACAAACUGGAAUGAAGUUGGAAAGGAGAAAGUUGAUGUGAAACCACCAGAUGGGAUGGAGUACAAAAAGUGGGAAGUGUGAUAGACAACAAAGUACUGAAGAGUGAUUAUCAUCUUUAUCUUCAUUAAGUCAUAUUGAUAAGAAUAAGAACUACAGUGUAAUUCUGUUAUAUUUAUUUCAUGACUCUUGCAGAAAUUGGCAUUGUAUAUUAUGUUUUGAUCAAAUCUGAAUAACAUGUAGAGAUGCUGAGCAGUUAGAUAUCCAAUAAAUUUAACUGGAAGCUU